rnacentral:SRP_RNA from 1 species
GCUGGGAGUUGUGGCGUACUCCUGUAAUCCAGCUACUUGGAGGCCAGGUGUUCCGAUCGCAAUACAAUUGUGAUCAGAAGGCCUCN